rnacentral:rRNA from 1 species
AUUGAACGCUGGCGGAAUGCUUUACACAUGCAAGUCGAACGGUAGAGGGGGCAACCCCCUUGAGAGUGGCGAACGGGUGAGUAAUAUAUCGGAACGUGCCCAGUCGUGGGGAUAACGUAGCGAAAGUUACGCUAAUACCGCAUACGAUCUACGGAUGAAAGCGGGGGACUCGCAAGAGCCUCGCGCGAUUGGAGCGGCCGAUAUCAGAUUAGGUAGUUGGGUGGGGUAAAGGCUCACCAAGCCAACGAUCUGUAGCUGGUCUGAGAGGACGACCAGCCACACUGGAACUGAGACACGGUCCAGACUCCUACGGGAGGCAGCAGGUGGGG